CCGCCGUAGUAUAGCCCGGUCAAGUAUGCGGGCCUUUCGAGCCCGUGACCCGGGUUCAAAUCCCGGCGGCGGCAC
rnacentral:tRNA from 1 species